UACAUCGGAACGUGCCCAAUCGUGGGGGAUAACGCAGCGAAAGCUGUGCUAAUACCGCAUACGAUCUACGGAUGAAAGCAGGGGAUCGCAAGACCUUGCGCGAAUGGAGCGGCCGAUGGCAGAUUAGGUAGUUGGUGAGGUAAAGGCUCACCAAGCCUUCGAUCUGUAGCUGGUCUGAGAGGACGACCAGCCACACUGGGACUGAGACACGGCCCAGACUCCUACGGGAGGCAGCAGGA
rnacentral:rRNA from 1 species